AGUCGACGGGAAUCUUCGGAUUCUAGUGGCGGACGGGUGAGUAACGCGUAAGAAUCUAACUUCAGGACGGGGACAACAGUUGGAAACGACUGCUAAUACCCGAUGUGCCGAAAGGUGAAACCUAAUUGGCCUGAAGAAGAGCUUGCGUCUGAUUAGCUAGUUGGUGGGGUAAAGGCCUACCAAGGCGACGAUCAGUAGCUGGUCUGAGAGGAUGAGCAGCCACACUGGGACUGAGACACGGCCCAGACUCCUACGGGAGGCAGCAGUGGGGAAUUUUCCGCAAUGGGCGAAAGCCUGACGGAGCAACGCCGCGUGAGGGAGGAAGGUCUUUGGAUUGUAAACCUCUUUUCCCAAGGAAGAAGUUCUGACGGUACUUGAGGAAUCAGCCUCGGCUAACUCCGUGCCAGCAGCCGCGGUAAUACGGGGGAGGCAAGCGUUAUCCGGAAUUAUUGGGCGUAAAGCGUCCGCAGGUGGUCAGCCAAGUCUGCCGUCAAAUCAGGUUGCUUAACGACCUAAAGGCGGUGGAAACUGGCAGACUAGAGAGCAGUAGGGGUAGCAGGAAUUCCCAGUGUAGCGGUGAAAUGCGUAGAGAUUGGGAAGAACAUCGGUGGCGAAAGCGUGCUACUGGGCUGUAUCUGACACUCAGGGACGAAAGCUAGGGGAGCGAAAGGGAUUAGAUACCCCUGUAGUCCUAGCCGUAAACGAUGGAUACUAGGCGUGGCUUGUAUCGACCCGAGCCGUGCCGAAGCUAACGCGUUAAGUAUCCCGCCUGGGGAGUACGCACGCAAGUGUGAAACUCAAAGGAAUUNGACGGGGGCCCGCACAAGCGGNGG
rnacentral:rRNA from 1 species